rnacentral:lncRNA from 1 species
GUGUUACUUCUUAACUAACCAAUGUAAUGGUUUUAUUUAUUGUGAAAAAUGUGAACUUAGAUUAGGUGAAAAGGCCUUGAAGUUUAAUGGUUCUACAAUACCUUCUAUGACAAUGUCAGUGGUAAAAUACCUUUGCUUGUCUGUAGAUGUCCUACUACAAUGGUCAAUUCUUAAAGUUAAAAUGUUGGAAUAGAUUGUUAUGCUAUAACCACUAAUCUUUUUUUUUUGUUAUUGUAAGGGAG